rnacentral:rRNA from 1 species
CCUACGGGAGGCAGCAGUGGGGAAUAUUGGACAAUGGGGGCAACCCUGAUCCAGCCAUGCCGCGUGUGUGAAGAAGGCCCUCGGGUUGUAAAGCACUUUCAGUGAGGAAGAACGCCUGGUGGUUAAUACCCAUCAGGAAAGACAUCACUCACAGAAGAAGCACCGGCUAACUCCGUGCCAGCAGCCGCGGUAAUACGGAGGGUGCGAGCGUUAAUCGGAAUUACUGGGCGUAAAGCGCGCGUAGGUGGCUUGAUAAGCCGGUUGUGAAAGCCCCGGGCUCAACCUGGGAACGGCAUCCGGAACUGUCAAGCUAGAGUGCAGGAGAGGAAGGUAGAAUUCACGGUGUAGCGGUGAAAUGCGUAGAGAUCGGGAGGAAUACCAGUGGCGAAGGCGGCCUUCUGGACUGACACUGACACUGAGGUGCGAAAGCGUGGGUAGCAAACAGGAUUAGAUACCCUGGUAGUC